UACGGAGGGUGCAAGCGUUGUUCGGAAUUAUUGGGCGUAAAGCGCGCGCAGGCGGCCUGAAAAGUCUAUGGGUGAAAUGCCGGGGCUCAACCCCGUGCGUGCCCAGGAUACUGUCAGGCUGGAGACACGUAGAGGCAAGCGGAAUUCCGGGUGUAGCGGUGGAAUGCGUAGAGAUCCGGAAGAACACCGGAGGCGAAGGCGGCUUGCUGGGCGUGAUCUGACGCUGAGGCGCGAAAGCGUGGGGAGCGAACAGG
rnacentral:rRNA from 1 species